GGUAAGCGAUGGGGUGACGCAGGAAGGUAGUCCAGCCCAGGCGAUGGUUGUCCUGGGGUAAGCAUGUAGGGCGUGUCGUAGGUAAAUCCGCGGCAUUUAAGCCUGAGAUGUGAUGCCGAGCCGAUUGUGGUGAAGUGGAUGAUCCUAUGCUGCCGAGAAAAGCCUCUAGUGAGUGUUGUGGCGGCCCGUACCCUAAACCGACUCAGGUGGUCAGGUAGAGAAUACCAAGGCGAUCGGGUGAACUGUGGUUAAGGAACUCGGCAAAUUGCCCCCGUAACUUCGGGAGAAGGGGGACCUCUGUUGGUGAUGGGCUUUACGCCUGGAGCUGGUGGGGGUCGCAGUGGCCAGGGGGAAGCGACUGUUUACUAAAAACACAGGUCCGUGCGAAGUCGUAAGACGAUGUAUACGGACUGACGCCUGCCCGGUGCCGGAACGUUAAGGGGACCGCUUAGCUGACGUGAGUUGGCGAAGGUGAGAACUUAAGCGCCGGUAAACGGCGGUGGUAACUAUAACCAUCCUAAGGUAGCGAAAUUCCUUGUCGGGUAAGUUCCGACCUGCACGAAUGGCGUAACGACUUCCCCGCUGUCUCAACCGCAGACCCGGCGAAAUUGCACUACGAGUAAAGAUGCUCGUUUCGCGCAGCAGGACGGAAAGACCCCGGGACCUUCACUACAGCUUGACAUUGGCGUUUGGAACGUCUUGUGUAGGAUAGGUGGGAGACUGGGAAGCUGUCACGCUAGUGAUGGUGGAGUCAUUGGUGAAAUACCACUCUGGUCGUUUUGAACGUCUAACUCUGGUCCGUGAUCCGGAUCGGGGACAGUGUCUGGUGGGUAGUUUAACUGGGGCGGUUGCCUCCUAAAGAGUAACGGAGGCGCCCAAAGGUUCCCUCAGCCUGGUUGGCAAUCAGGUGUUGAGUGUAAGUGCACAAGGGAGCUUGACUGUGAGACUGACAGGUCGAGCAGGAGCGAAAGCUGGGACUAGUGAUCCGGCAUCGGCGUGUGGAAGCGGUGUCGCUCAACGGCUAAAAGGUACCCCGGGGAUAACAGGCUGAUCUUCCCCAAGAGUCCAUAUCGACGGGAUGGUUUGGCACCUCGAUGUCGGCUCGUCGCAUCCUGGGGCUGGAGUAGGUCCCAAGGGUUGGGCUGUUCGCCCAUUAAAGCGGUACGCGAGCUGGGUUUAGAACGUCGCGAGACAGUUCGGUCCCUAUCCGCUGCGCGCGCAGGAGACUUGAAGGGGGCUGUCCCUAGUACGAGAGGACCGGGACGGACGAACCUCUGGUGUGCCAGUUGUACCGCCAGGUGCACGGCUGGUUGGCUACGUUCGGAAGGGAUAACCGCUGAAAGCAUCUAAGCGGGAAGCUCGCCUUGAGAUGAGGUCUCCCACCACGAGAGUGGGUAAGGCUCCCGGUAGACGACCGGGUUGAUAGGCCGGAGGUGGAAGCACGGUAACGUGUGGAGCUGACCGGUACUAAUAGGCCGAGGACUUGAUCAA
rnacentral:rRNA from 1 species